rnacentral:rRNA from 1 species
AUACGUAGGGGGCGAGCGUUGUCCGGAAUGAUUGGGCGUAAAGGGCGCGUAGGCGGCCCGGUAAGUCUGGAGUGAAAGUCCUGUUUUUAAGAUGGGGAUUGCUUUGGAUACUGUCGGGCUUGAGUGCAGGAGAGGGAAGUGGAAUUCCCAGUGUAGCGGUGAAAUGCGUAGAGAUUGGGAGGAACACCAGUGGCGAAGGCGACUUACUGGACUGUAACUGACGCUGAGGCGCGAAAGUGUGGGGAGCAAACAGGAUUAGAUACCCUGGUAGUCCACACUGUAAACGAUGAAUGCUAGGUGUAGGGGGUAUCGACCCCUUCUGUGCCGCAGUCAACACAAUAAGCAUUCCGCCUGGGGAGUACGGCCGCAAGGUUGAAACUCAAAUGAAUUGACGGGG